UCCAUGGGUUGAUGUCUCUGGAAGUGCAA
rnacentral:piRNA from 1 species